GCAAAACGCGAAGAACCUUACCAGGUCUUGACAUCCCGGUGACCACUAUGGAGACAUAGUUUCCCCUUCGGGGGCAACGGUGACAGGUGGUGCAUGGUUGUCGUCAGCUCGUGUCGUGAGAUGUUGGGUUAAGUCCCGCAACGAGCGCAACCCUUAUUCUUAGUUGCCAUCAUUCAGUUGGGCACUCUAAGGAGACUGCCGGUGAUAAACCGGAGGAAGGUGGGGAUGACGUCAAAUCAUCAUGCCCCUUAUGACCUGGGCUACACACGUGCUACAAUGGACGGUACAAACGGUUGCCAACCCGCGAGGGGGAGCUAAUCCGAUAAAACCGUUCUCAGUUCGGAUUGUAGGCUGCAACUCGCCUACACGAAGCCGGAAUCGCUAGUAAUCGCGGAUCAGCAUGCCGCGGUGAAUACGUUCCCGGGUCUUGUACACACC
rnacentral:rRNA from 1 species